UUUAGCUACAGGCUUAACACAUGCAAGUCGAGGGGCAUCAGGAAGAAAGCUUGCUUUCUUUGCUGGCGACCGGCGCACGGGUGAGUAACACGUAUCCAACCUGCCCUUACUCGGGGAUAGCCUUUCGAAAGAAAGAUUAAUACCCGAUAGCAUAAUGAUUCCGCAUGGUUUCAUUAUUAAAGGAUUCCGGUAAAGGAUGGGGAUGCGUUCCAUUAGGUUGUUGGUGAGGUAACGGCUCACCAAGCCUUCGAUGGAUAGGGGUUCUGAGAGGAAGGUCCCCCACAUUGGAACUGAGACACGGUCCAAACUCCUACGGGAGGCAGCAGUGAGGAAUAUUGGUCAAUGGGCGCUAGCCUGAACCAGCCAAGUAGCGUGAAGGAUGAAGGCUCUAUGGGUCGUAAACUUCUUUUAUAUAAGAAUAAAGUGCAGUAUGUAUACUGUUUUGUAUGUAUUAUAUGAAUAAGGAUCGGCUAACUCCGUGCCAGCAGCCGCGGUAAUACGGAGGAUCCGAGCGUUAUCCGGAUUUAUUGGGUUUAAAGGGAGCGUAGGUGGACUGGUAAGUCAGUUGUGAAAGUUUGCGGCUCAACCGUAAAAUUGCAGUUGAUACUGUCAGUCUUGAGUACAGUAGAGGUGGGCGGAAUUCGUGGUGUAGCGGUGAAAUGCUUAGAUAUCACGAAGAACUCCGAUUGCGAAGGCAGCUCACUGGACUGCAACUGACACUGAUGCUCGAAAGUGUGGGUAUCAAACAGGAUUAGAUACCCUGGUAGUCCACACAGUAAACGAUGAAUACUCGCUGUUUGCGAUAUACAGUAAGCGGCCAAGCGAAAGCAUUAAGUAUUCCACCUGGGGAGUACGCCGGCAACGGUGAAACUCAAAGGAAUUGACGGGGGCCCGCACAAGCGGAGGAACAUGUGGUUUAAUUCGAUGAUACGCGAGGAACCUUACCCGGGCUUAAAUUGCAGUGGAAUGAUGUGGAAACAUGUCAGUGAGCAAUCACCGCUGUGAAGGUGCUGCAUGGUUGUCGUCAGCUCGUGCCGUGAGGUGUCGGCUUAAGUGCCAUAACGAGCGCAACCCUUAUCUUUAGUUACUAACAGGUUAUGCUGAGGACUCUGGAGAGACUGCCGUCGUAAGAUGUGAGGAAGGUGGGGAUGACGUCAAAUCAGCACGGCCCUUACGUCCGGGGCUACACACGUGUUACAAUGGGGGGUACAGAAGGCAGCUAGCGGGUGACCGUAUGCUAAUCCCAAAAGCCUCUCUCAGUUCGGAUCGAAGUCUGCAACCCGACUUCGUGAAGCUGGAUUCGCUAGUAAUCGCGCAUCAGCCACGGCGCGGUGAAUACGUUCCCGGGCCUUGUACACACCGCCCGUCAAGCCAUGGGAGCCGGGGGUACCUGAAGUACGUAACCGAAAGGAUCGUCCUAGGGUAAAACUGGUGA
rnacentral:rRNA from 1 species